CUGUUUUAGUUAGUAACUUACAUUAACUGAUCCACUUAGUCUCUUACAGUGACUGUAUUCCUACAGAACAGCCGUUAUGAAGGCAUUAUCAAGCAAAACAAUACAAACAAAGUAAAAGCUCUUUGAGGAUAAGUUCAUUUUGCUGAACAGAGGGUACGGGUGAGGUUAAAGAAGAGAGCCUCUGAGUUCUCAACCAACAGGAUCAAAUCAAACCACACCCAGUUAGUCUGGAACAAUGAGACCUCGCAGUGUUCUACACUGUCUAACCUCUCAGGACUCAUGCUGUGUGAGUGUGUGUGUGUGGACAUGGGUUAGUCUGUACGCGUGUGCGAGGCUGAAAGUGUUCCCCAGGGGGUAAGGGGAAAGGUCCCGUCUGUUAAUGUAGUAGCUUAUUAACAAAUGGUAGGGGUAAGAGUUAACACUAGUUACAGACCCUGUAUGGUAGGGGUUAGGGUUAGAGUUAACACUAGGUACACACCCUGUAUGGUAGGGGUUAGGGUUAACACUAGGUACACAUCCUGUAUGGUAGGGGUUAGGGUUAGAGUUAACACUAGGUACACACCCUGUAUGGUAGGGGUUAUAGUUAACACUAGGUACACACCCUGUAUGGUAGGGGUUAGGGUUAACACUAGGUACACACCCUGUAUGGUAGGGGUUAGAGUUAACACUAGGUACACAUCCUGUAUGGUAGGGGUUAUAGUUAACACUAGGUACACAUCCUGUAUGGUAGGGGUUAGAGUAAACACUAGGUACACACCCUGUAUGGUAGGGGUUAUAGUUAACACUAGGUACACAUCCUGUAUGGUAGGGGUUAUAGUUAACACUAGGUACACAUCCUGUAUGGUAGGGGUUAGGGUUAACACUAGGUACACAUCCUGUAUGGUAGGGGUUAGAGUUAACACUAGGUACACAUCCUGUAUGGUAGGGG
rnacentral:lncRNA from 1 species